rnacentral:rRNA from 1 species
AUUGAACGCUGGCGGCAGGCCUAACACAUGCAAGUCGAACGAGUGGCGGACGGGUGAGUAAUGUCUGGGAAACUGCCUGAUGGAGGGGGAUAACUACUGGAAACGGUGGCUAAUACCGCAUACCAUCGGAUGUGCCCAUAUGGGAUGGGCUAGUUGGUGGGGUAUAGGCUCACCUAGGCGACGAUCCCUAGCUGGUCUGAGAGGAUGACCAGCCACACUGGAACUGAGACACGGGCCAGACUCCUACGGGAGGCAGCAGUGGGGAAUAUUGCACAAUGGGCGCAAGCCUGAUGCAGCCAUGCCGCGUGUAUGAAGAAGGCCUUCGGGUUGUAAAGUACUUUCAGCGGGGAGGCGUUACCCGCAGAAGAAGCACCGGCUAACUCCGUGCCAGCCGCCGCGGUAAUAC